GUUGAGGAUGAACACGGAUGCGGCCACUUUCAUUUUUGACAAAAACCAUCUGAAAAGUGACAUAUUUUGGCAUAUUUGGUAGAUUUUUCAUAUUUGAGCUUGAAUCGGAGCGUUUUUAAUGACUAAAUGAGUAAAAAUCUCUCACAUAAAUUAAUUGAAUCAAAUGAAAUAGACACUUAAGUGUUUAAAAAAUGGUCAAAAUCUUUCGUCAGAUGAAACUACUCCUUUCACGAAGUCUAGUCUGACUUAUCAUUUUACCAAAAAAACAAGAAUGUGUCCUCAGUACACGAAUGCCCCACUCGCACUAUCAUUUUCUAUGUUCAGUGGACCGUGAAAUUGGGGUAAAAUCUCUAAUUUGGCAUUAAAAUUAGAAAGAUCAUAUCAUAGGGAACAAGUGUACCAAGUUUGAAGUCGAUUGGACUUCAACUUCAUCAAAAACUACCUCGACCAAAAACUUUAACCUGAAGCGGGACAGACGGACGAACGAACGAACGAACGGACGAACGAACGAACGAACGAACGAACGGACGCACAGACCAGAAAACAUAAUGCCCCUCUACUAUCGUAGGUGGGGCAUAAAAAUCUAAUCAAAGGAACAUUCAUUAAAUUUUUGAAGAUUUGGCCCAGUAGUUUCAGAGGAGAACAUUUUAAGAAAAAGUUUACGACAGAC
rnacentral:lncRNA from 1 species